rnacentral:rRNA from 1 species
UGGGGAAUUGUUCGCAAUGGGCGCAAGCCUGACGACGCAACGCCGCGUGGAGGAUGAAGGUCUUCGGAUUGUAAACUCCUGUUGCCCGGGACGAAUGGCUCCAACCUAAUACGUUGGAGUGUGACGGUACCGGGUGAGGAAGCCCCGGCUAACUCUGUGCCAGCAGCCGCGGUAAUACAGAGGGGGCGAGCGUUGUUCGGAAUUACUGGGCGUAAAGGGCGCGUAGGCGGCCUGCUAUGUCGAACGUGAAAUCCCUGGGCUCAACCCAGGAACUGCGUCCGAAACUGGCAGGCUUGAAUCCGGGAGAGGGAUGUGGAAUUCCAGGUGUAGCGGUGAAAUGCGUAGAUAUCUGGAGGAACACCGGUGGCGAAGGCGGCAUCCUGGACCGGUAUUGACGCUGAGGCGCGAAAGCCAGGGGAGCAAACGGGAUUAGAUACCCCUGUAGUCC